rnacentral:rRNA from 1 species
GACGAACGCUGGCGGCGUGCUUAACACAUGCAAGUCGAACGGAAAGGCCCUGCUUUUGGGGGGCGCUCGAGUGGCGAACGGGUGAGUAACACGUGAGUCACCUGCCCUCCACUUUGGGAUAACUUCAGGAAACUGGGGCUAAUAGCGGAUAGGAGUUCCUGCUGCGUGGUGGGGGGUGGAGAGUUUCGGCGGUUGGGGGUGGACUCGCCGCCUAUCCGCUUGUUGGUGGGGUAGUGGAUUACCAAGGCUGUGACGGGUAGCCGGCCUGAGAGGGUGGGCUGCCACAUUAGGCCGGAGAUGCGGCCCAGACUCCUACGGGAGGCAGCGGUGGAGAAUGGAAUACAGUGGGAGGAAGGAUGAUGCGACACCGCCGCGUGCGGGAUGACGUGCUGGGGGUAGUGUUCUGCUUUCGCUUUUGACGAGGCGUUAGUGACGGUAAUGGGUGAAGAAGCACCGGCUAACUACGUG